GAGUGAUGGAGUGAGUUCCGCCGAAAUCUGCUCGGCCGCCCUUUCCAAUCUGGAUCAGCAGCCGCUAUGCCCGCCGCACCCGACGAUCCUCCUCCUCUGCCUCUCAUAUUCAUUCCUCCAACCUCAAAAAAGCAAGUCGUGAUCCGGUCCGUAUGGUCGCGCAACCUGGACUUCGAGUUCUCCCUCAUCCGCCGCCUCAUCGACCGCUUCAACUUUGUCUCAAUGGAUACCGAGUUCCCUGGAAUCGUCUACCGUCACCACCACCACCACACCGACCCCACCGACCACUAUCAAACCCUCAAGUCCAACGCCGACACUCUCAAGCUCAUCCAAGUCGGGAUCACGCUUGCUGACUCCUUUGGAAACCUACCCGACAUUGGCUUAAACGACUACUGCUUCAUUUGGGAAUUCAAUUUCAGAGAUUUCGAUGUAAUGCACGAUGAUCACGCACCGAGUUCAAUCGACCUUCUCAGCAAGCAGGGCAUCAAUUUCGAAUCCAAUAUCCGCCACGGCGUCUCCACUUACCGCUUCGCCGAGCUCCUUAUAUCCUCCGGUCUGCUCUGCAACGACAAUGUUACUUACAUCACUUUCCACAGUGGGUACGACUUCAGCUAUCUCAUUAGAGCCAUCACCGGUCAGGACCUUCCAUCUACUCUUCCGGAGUUUCUCAACUUGCUGAGGGUCAUAUUUGGUCAUCGCGUAUAUGAUGUUAAACAUUUGAUGAGAUUCUGCGAGGGCCUGCACGGCGGGUUGGAUAGGGUGGCGCAGGCUCUUAGUGUGGUCCGUGCUGCGGGGAAGUGCCACCAGGCCGGGUCUGAUAGCCUUAUGACAUGGCAUGCAUUUGAGAGGAUCAGGGAAGUCUAUUUUAGCAUCGAAGCAGGUGGCCUACCUGAUGAGUAUGCUGGUGUUCUUUAUGGUUUAGAAAUCGAUGGUUGUCUUUGAAUGGCUUUCUUUGCUGGAUGAUGAUGGUUAUGAAUGGAUGUUUUACAAGCAUGAUUUGGGAGGAAACCUUAAGGAUCUGUUGAUUCUUAACCUAUCUGCCAUAGCUUCUUGAAGCAGCAAAUUUCAAGCAGGGCAAAUGAUGGAGCAAAUGAAAUGGCUUUGUCAAGCACUUGCACUUUUGAGUAUAUGGUGAUUUUAGCUUACAAAGUUAUGUGAUUCUGGAUUUUAAAUUGAAUCCGCUCUUCAAUUCUCAGUGCAAUGUUUAUGAAGCUACUUAUCACUUACUACUGAGUACUGUCACAAUGCAUACCGAAGGGUAAGCUAUACAGGUCUUCAUCCACCCAGUGCUCAUUUGUUGCAUGUGUGCAGAUUCUGAUGGUUUUAGAGUCCAAUUUCUGGAAUGACAGGGACAAUGGCAGGUUUGGGGCCCUUGGUGCUCUUAUACCAUUGUUGUGUGAGUUUCUGAUGGUUAGGGUGGGUCCGAAUGAAUGCGGGAAUGUGUGGAUCAGGUGGACAAGCUAAGCUAAGGACCAUAGCAUGCAUGCAGUAGGAGGGUUGGGAGGAAAUGGUCCCUCCCUCACUCUUUCUUAGUAGUAUAAUUUAAUAUAAGGUAUAAUAAGGCUGCAGGCAAGGCAACAAUUUGAUGUGAGUAUUUAUUUCUUUGUAUUGUACAUAGGCAGAUGACGGCGACAAUGAUGGUGAGGAAAGGGGUGGGUCACACAACAGACACAUACUUGUUCUUGCUGCUGGUUUCUUGUCAGAAUACCUGGAGGGUAGUAUUGAUACAUGGUCGAUGGCCGCCUUCUACGAGAUUCCAUUUUCAUCUUGUUACUCGUUUAUGCGCUACCAGAGUUUCUUGUCUACGUAUUUGCCAGCUUUCUUUUGAUGUGGUCGGACAAGCUACAGAAGCUUGAAUUCCAAGAAAUGAUGAUGUUAAUCCAGCACCUUAACUGGAGCCAUGUGGAGCUAGGGAUGGUGCUGUUCCGAGCUUAUAUGUGGCACACCAUGUUCAACAACAUUCCGAGCAAUUUAGCCAGCUGAGCUGAGCUGAACACAGCAUAGUGAGGGGAGCCAUUUAAAAGUAAUGGUAUUCCUUGCCCCAUUUAUGUGUGUUUUAUUAUCCCCACAGUGACAGAUGAAUGGAUGGAUGAUCCCAUAUUCUUUGAGUUGUUUUUGACUGGCAAUGGCAUUUGUGUUGGUGUUAUUAUUAGAGUUUACUCCGAAAGAAAUCAUAUAUUUCUAUGUAUUAUUAUUUUGUAAUAGCCUAUUUUAAACUUGCUCUUGGUUGUGAAAAUCACUUGAAAUAUGCUU